rnacentral:ncRNA from 1 species
AGAGUCCUGUGCAGUGAAGGAAUAGCAAACCACACUGGCCCCGAGUCAUGCGUUGUGCAUCGCGAGAUGCAGGGCGAAGCGUUGACAGGGGAGUCUGUAGGCCAGCCAUAGAACCUGACGAGAUUGCACGAGCAGGCGCAUCGAGGCACGUACCGGGCGCUUCCUUCACGGCGGCGAUACAUUCCGAAACCCGAUGGGCGGCAACGCCCGCUGGGGAUCGCCGCACUGGAGGAUAA